rnacentral:rRNA from 1 species
UACAGAGGGGGCAAGCGUUGUUCGGAAUUACUGGGCGUAAAGGGCGCGUAGGCGGCCUUCUAAGUCGAACGUGAAGUCCCCGGGCUCAACCCGGGAACUGCGUCCGAUACUGGAAGGCUUGAAUCCGGGAGAGGGAUGCGGAAUUCCAGGUGUAGCGGUGAAAUGCGUAGAUAUCUGGAGGAACACCGGUGGCGAAGGCGGCAUCCUGGACCGGCAUUGACGCUGAGGCGCGAAAGCCAGGGGAGCAAACGGG